rnacentral:rRNA from 1 species
GCUUAUGGCCACACCAGUGUAAAUGCGGUGAUCUCAUCUGAUCUCGGAAGUUAAGCACACUUAGGCUCGAUCAGUUCUUGGAUGGGAGACCGCCUGGAAACCCCGAGUGCUAUAAGCU